UGUGGCGUACCUGUCUGCUGCCCAGGACUCCACUUCCUGCUCCCCUGCCCUUUUCAUGUUAGACAAGAAGAUCUUGAUUUAGCUGAGAUGAUGGCUGACAACCCUCCCAACACCUCUGUGUCCCAACUACGGACUACAAGGACAAGACAGAAGAGAAAUUCCCUGCACUUGACCUGAGUGUCUCACCCUGCCCCUCAUGAAAUGGACCUUUCCACUCCUCGGAGGAAACCCCAUACUAGGUGACGUGUUAUGGUACUUACCCAUUAGUGAUACCAGCUUAUAAAAACACAACAGUUUGGCAGGUCUGGGGCACCUCUUGUGCAACAGCAUGGCCCUAUUGAUAAAUAUAAAUUAAUAGUUCCAUUGUGUUCUACCUGUUUUAUGUAAGUGCUGAUUGACAUAAAAACAUUUGCAGCCAACAACUCUUACGCUGUCAAGAGGCUAGCUCACUGAUGCCUAGUGUCUGCCGAAGAGACAGACAUUUCUUGAGAUGAAACUGCUUUAUUCUGUGUUUUCAAUGUUUUAAUGACUUGUGAUGGUAAUUCAAGUUUUCAAAUAAAUAGCUUAGGCAAAGACUUGUCUUUCUGUGAAUUCUAUUCAAGUCUACUGCAGAAAGAACUCACUGGGACACACACGCAUCAGAGUAUCAUCCAGAUCGGAUCUGUUUGUUUUGGAGAGGAGACGACCUUGGUUGUCAUUCGGCUCCAGGUUGAAACCUCCUGAACAGUCAAAAUCGAAGGAAUCCUACGCUAAAAACAAACUGAGCACCUAAACUGAGUGAACGUUAGCAGCAGCAGCAGCUCAGCUGUAAACACACUGCAGGACUGCACACCGCUUGGAACUUCGAGGGAGGUGAUAACAAAAAACCUAAAAAAGGAAAGCUGAAUCAGCCAUCUUGAAUUUGCCUUCAUGCGGUGAAGUUUUCAUGGAAGUUUUGGAAAGCCCCACAGUUUAAUUUGUUUUUAUUUGUUUGCAAUGCGCACUUUUAUCCCCUUGCUUCAAACCACCACCUCAGUUUUUUUCAUCAUCAUUAUUGGCCGGCCUUUUUUUCAGCGCCGUCUUAUUAUCAGCCCUGAUUUGGCUCAAGUGUGUGGUUGUGAGAUCAUCAUCUAGA